GGCAUAAUACCUUCGUGACUAAUGCUAGUGUUACUUCCGUAUUGUAUUUCGCUAAAUUCGAGCGCGGUAAGAUUUCGUUUCAUGUGGAAACGAAAAGUUAACCCGUGUAUAUUUCUUAGAGUUAGGCUGUAUCCAAAACAAUUAUACCUGCUGUUAUUUCAACAUGAGUGACGACCCGGACUCUCCUCCCGAAAGGGAAAUGAAGGAUUUUCAGUUCCGGCAAAUGAAGAAAACCCGAGUAUUUGAUUCACCUGAUGACCUGCCAAAGGAUAGAUCAAGUCUACUUGCCAUCUCAAACAAAUUUGGACUGACAUUUGUCGGACUAGACAGAAAGAUCAAGGUGUACCGCACGCGGGACAUCCUAGCUGCAGACAAAGUUGAUGGGAACUCCAAUGAAAUAAUUGAGGGGAUAGCAGCCUUGGCUGAUGUUGCUGUGGAGUUGCCUGUGCACAACCUGGGCCUCAGCAGUGAUGAGCUCACCCUGUCAGUCAGCGGCAUGUCAAAGGAGUCAGGCCUGUCAUUGGACUUCUACGACGUCCGUACCUUCAUCAACAAGGCCCGACAACAGAAGUUGCCGUUUGUGACUCUGCGACCUGGAGUCGGCCUGGGCAUAAUUGUGCAGGACCUCAAAUGGAACCCGGUGCAGGCGUCCAUGCUGGCCACCUGUCUGUCUGACGGCAGCAUGAUGGUGCUUGAGGUCACAGAUGGCGUCAAAGUGCAGGCCCAGCUCCCCGCCACCGAAGGAAUCACCUGUGUAUGCUGGAGUCCCAAAGGAAAGCAAGUGGCAGCAGGAAAAAUGAAUGCGACAGUCAGUCAGUACACUCCAGGGCUUCAGGAGAAGAAAGUGAUCCCUUGCCCAAGCUUCUACAGCUCCGACAACCCUGUCAAAGUACUUGAUGUGCAGUGGCUGAGUACGUUUGUGUUUGCCGUGGUGUAUGCAGCAGCCGAUGGCUGUCCAGAAACACCCCCUGAACUGGUGGUGAUCUCCCUCCCUACAAAGACCGAGAAGAGGGAGGAGAGGUACCUGAACUUCAACGACCCCGUCUACGGCACCUGCACAGAGAGACAGCUGCACUACUUCCUCAGCCACAUAGAGGACUGGGAUGUUGUUCUUGCCGCCUCGGCAGCCUCCAUUGAAGUCAGUGUCAUCGCCAAGCAAGAAGAUAAGUCCAACUGGGAGCUGUGGCUGCUGGAGGACGCCAGUAGGGGAGAGCUGCCCGUUUCACAGAAUAACGACGACACACUGCCUUUGGGCCUGGCCAUUGUCUACACCAGCCAGCAGGAGAUCCACAUCACCGAUGAGAAGACUCUUCCCCCGGUGCCCACUCUGCUGCUUCUGUCUACAGACGGAGUGUUGUGCCCCUUUUCACUGCUCAACCUUAACCCUGGGGCCAAGCAGCUGGUCGCUGCCCCCACCAACCUGGCUCUGGACGGAGAGAGACUGCCCCCUGCGGGUUCUGCAGCCCCCCCGCCCCCUUACCCAACCCCUAUCGCAUCAACCCUGGGGUCGUUCCCUCCUCUCCGCCCCCCCUCGUCCCCCACGCAGACUCCCCCUGCCUCCCUGUUCACCACCACAGCGCCUGCCCCAGCUCCAGUCUCCUCAUCUGGCUUCUCAUUCUCCAUGCCCCCUUUCUCCUCCACUGCUCCUCCCGCCUUGUCCCUCGGGGGCUACACGGCCUUCAGCGCGGCCCCAGCCUCGGGCACCUCCGCUAGCUUCUCCUUCGCCUCCAAGCCUCUGACUGAUACCCCCGCCGCAGCCUCCUCCUUCUCCUUCAGUGCCCCCAAGCCUCCAGUGGUGGAAUUUACACCAGAACCCUCCCCCACUCCGACCUCCACCCCCCAGCGCCUGGCCACCGCCUCCCCUAUCACGGUUUUCCGAGGUACCCCCGAGCCAGCCACUCCCGCUGUGAAGAUGAACCUCAGUGACAGGUUCCUGGCAGUGGAGACCCCUGCUCCAGCUGCAGUUACAGCCUCCCUACCCUUCUCCUUCACCCCCAAACCUGCAUUCUUUGAGCCCACCAGCCAGCCCGCCCCGCUGCCCAUUGUCACCAGGCCCACAGCCAUGCCAGUUCGCCCAGUCCAAACCAGUACACCCCCCAUGGUUGCACAAAAACCUGCCCCAGCCACCCAGGCAAGUGCACCCACUCCACAGGCAGCACUGAGUGUGAAGGCCCUGGAGAGACAGCUGCAGCAGAGGAAGGACUCGGACCCAGUCAUGGCUGGAAUACUGGAGGAGAUUGGCCAUUUCCAGAAGGAGCUGGCUGACCUGAAGGCGCGCAGCCACAAGGCAGACUUUAGAGUGGGCACCAUAGAGGAGAUGAAGGAGCUGAGGAAAGAGUCUAAAGACCUCCACGUCUUCACCCUGGAGAUAAAAGAAACCACUGAGUCUCUCCAUGGGGACAUCAGCACUCUGAAAACCACCAUGCUGGAGGGCUUUGCCGGUGCAGAGGACGCCAAGGCCAUGAGUGAGCUCAACAGAGACAGAGGCUACCUGCAGCUGCUGUACAAGAAACCACUGGACCCACGCAGUGAAGACCAACUCAAGGAGAUCCGCAGGCUGUACCAGUAUGUGAAGUUUGCUGUGGAGGAUGUGAACGACGUGUUGGACCUGGAGUGGGAGAAACAUCUGGAGAAGAAGAAGAAGAAACAGAAACACAUGAUUGUCCCAGAAAGGGAGGCUCUGUUCACGGCCCUGGCCAACAACCUGGACAUCAUCAACCAGCAGAAGCAGAGACUGGACACACUGGUCAAAGACCUCCAUGCCCUGCGGCUCUACAACAAGACUGCAGCCUGGAGUACUCCUGGCCCCACCCAGCCCGCUGCAGCCACCCCCACAGAACAGGGUUUGGACAACGAGCUGGAGAGUUUGAGAGAUGCACUCCUGAAAUCCAGUCUAGACACCAUUCCUAAGACCUUAAAGUCUUCAGCCAAGAUGUCUCCAGUGAAGCAGUCUCAAUUGCGUAACUUCCUCUCCAAGAGGCAGACACCACCAGUCCGCUCCACCGCUCCAGCCAACCUGUUCCGCUCGGCCUUCCUCUCUCCCAAUUACUACGAGGAUCUGGACGAUGUGAGCUCCACCUCCUCCCUGUCUCAGGCCCUUGACCCAGACUACUCCCACUGUUUUGAGGAGGAACCGGAGCCCGAGCCUGCCCCCCUCCCCGUUCUGCCCACCUCUAUGCCCCGCCACCCCACGGUGGUACGCACCCCUUCCAUAGCCCCAGGGUUUGGUGCCAUCCAGUCCACUCCUUUCAGCAAGGUGCACCAGGGCCUGGGCAUGGGCCUGGGACUCAGCCCCAUCCUAAGCACAGUUCCAACCAAUAAGAUCAACAUGGGAGGUGCGGACAGCACGGCACUAGCCACUAAGACGGUGAAGCACGGAGCCCCUCCCACUGAGAAGGCCACACCCGUCCCCCUCCCUGCCCAACAGGCUGCUGCUAAAGCUGCUUUCCUCAGGCAAAUGGCUAAUCAGAAAACAGUGGUCAGUUCCUCUCUGGCAGAGUCUACCCUGAAGACCGUUCCCCAGGUGGUCAACGUCCAGGAGCUCAAGGACAAAGGACCGCCACUGCCUGUAUCCACUGUGAUCAACUCGUCAGUCCCAGCCCCGGUUGGUCAGGUUGUUCAGCAGGUAUUGGCGACUGUAGCCAACACCAACCAGGCCAAACGAAAUUCUACUCAAGGCAUACUGAAGGUGUCUGCUGAGAGUAUCCGCUCAGCUUCCCCCCAGGGUUUUGUGUUUGGCGGACCCCCUAAACCUGACGCCCUAAUUUCCCUGGCCUCCUCCAGCUCAGCCCCGUCACUAGGGGAGGAGAACAGCAAAGCCUUCUCCUCCUUUACCACAGCGUCUGCCGGGGCCUUCAGUUUCUCCUCUGUGUCCCAAGGAGCUCCACCAGUGAAGGACGCUAGUAAAUUCUUCUUUGGCAGCGCUGGCACCACCGGCAAGAUGAUGUUCAGCUCUUCUGCCGGAGAGGAACCUUUCUCCUUCAUCCCAAAAUCAACUUCCCCAACCCUGGGGAGCACCAGCUCCCCUCCUCCCAGCAUGUCAGGGGAGCCUGUGAGGCCCACCCCCACCUUCAGAGUGGAGCCCCAGGCACCCAAGGUGGUAGGAGGAGAGACACUGGGGAGUUUCUCGGGUCUACGGGUGGGCCAGGGGGACGAAGAGAAGCCCUCCGCGGCCUCGUUUAGCUUUGGCCAGCCGGACAAUGGAAUGGGGCUAGGUUUAGGCACGGGCACGGCCCAGUUUAGCUUCGGGUCGACCCUCCAGCAAGGAAAGCCAGCUGAGGCUGCAUUUGGUGAGGCGGAUUCUACCGUGACAGACUUAUCCAAGACUGCAUUCAAGCCUCCCGAACUGGCAGCCCUGUCGAUCACCAAGCCUGCGUUCACCACGUCAGCAGCCACCUCCUUCAGCAGCCUCCUAGCUGCACCCCUCUCUUCCCCUUCCCCCGCCUUGGAGGAAGAGCCCCCCAAAGCCCCCGCCCCCUUAUCAGACCCUACUCCACCCCCAGAGCCUGUUCCCUCACAGCCCAUCCCCUCUGUCAGCCCCCCUGUUGCUGAGCCUGAGGUUACUACCUCCCCAGUGUCCUCAGUCACCCCCACCCCUACCAUCCCUGAAAAGGCCACAACUUCCCCUGCCUCACCCCCCUCCCCAGCUCCCCCCAUUGCCUCCACCACCCCUGUCCCCCCUGCCUCUACCACCCCACCAGCUCCCAGCACUACCCCAGACCCUGCCCCCGAGGCAUCACCACCCACUAUCACCCCUACCCCGGAGGCCCCACCACCAGCCUACCCGGCCCCCAGCUCUGACAAACCUGGCUCCAUCUUCACCCAGCCACCUGCCAUCACCACAGAUAGCACCACUAUAGCUGUCACCAGCCUCACGACGGUCAUCAACACCGCAGCCCCUGCUGCCACCACCACCACCCCUACUGACUCCAACACCGCAGCCCCGGCCACAGGCACAGUUUUCGGACAGCCUGCUCCAGUGACUGCCGGCGGCUUUAGUUCCACCGGCUUUGGUGCUCCACCUGCAGGUGCAGGGGCUGGCUUUGGAAAACCUGUAUUUGGGCAGACAGUUGGCGGGUUCGGCGAACCUGUUCCUAACGCAGCCGGUGGCUUCGGUUUUGGCCAGUCUGCGUUCGGGGCCAGCCCUGGAUUUGGACAGCCUGCAGCGGCCACCACUGCUGCAGCUGCUAGUACCGCUGCUAGUGGAGGUGGUCUGUUUGGAGCCCCCAGUGCCAGCAAUGCCAGCAGUUUUUCCUUUGGCUCCCCCAGCGCCAGUACGGCCAGCAGUACGGGCACGGGCCUGUUUGGGCAGCCGAGCGCAACCCCGGCCUUCGGGCAGCAGAGUGCUGGGUUUGGACAAGGCUCUAUGUUUGGAAGCAACACAACCACCACAUCUUCUACUGGCUUCAGCUUUGGACAGCCUGCAGCUUUCGGAAACUCCUCCACUACCUCAGUGUUCGGUCAACAGUCCAGUACUGGGAGUGUCUUUGGACAGCAGCAGCCAUCCAGCGGUGGGGGUCUGUUUGGAUCUGGCUCUGCCCCGGCUGCAGCCUCCCAGCAGGCAGGGGGAGGCUUCUUCAGUGGCCUGGGGGGCAAGCCCAGUGAGGACGCCGCCAACAAGAACCCUUUCGGCACUGCCGCUGCCACCGGGGGCUUCGGACAGCCCAACCAGACAGGAGGAACUACCCUGUUUGGGAACAGUGGGGCCAAAACCUUUGGCUUUGGCUCCCCAGCGUCAACAUUCGGAGGGGGGGAGCAAACGGCCAGUGGAACCUUCAGCACGGGAGGGGGGAGCGUGGCCGCUCAGGGGUUCGGCUCCUUCUCCACCCCCACCAAACAAACAGGUGGAUUUGGGAGUGCCCCUGUGUUCGGUAGCCCCCCUGCUUUCGGGGGCUCCCCAGCGUUUGGGGGGUCAGCAGCAUUUGGCUCGGCCCCGUCCUUCAGCAGUCCCAUGGGCUCCUCAGCCAGCAAGGUGUUUGGAGAGGGCACGGCAGCCGCCAACGUGGGAGGAUUCGGCUUUGCUUCCACUCAACAAAGCACACUGUCAUUUGGUGCUCUGGCCAACCAGAGUGCCCCAUCAUUUGGUAACCUGGCCCAGCAGCAGCAGGGGUCAGGGUUCGGAGCUCCUCAGCCAAGUGGCUUCUCUGGGUUCGGACAGCAGGGAGGAGGAGGCUUUGGGUCUGCUGGCGGUUUUGGAUCGAAUCAACCAAGAUGGCCAGGACUACAAUAAAGAAUCUACGCUGUUUUAAUUUUGGAGGGAGGGAGAUCUGUUAUUUUGGCCCACAAUAUGUUUAUUAUGUUUCUGGACCAAUCAGACGGCCCCAAAUGUGUUCCUAUUCGGUGAAGGAAGUACUCAGAUGCAGACACAUUGUAGAGAAGAAACUAACGUCCGUGGGCAUAUGGUGUAGUGUUUGACCUGAACAAGGAGUGUGGGUAGCCAGGCAAGAAAUACACUGGACCCUUGCAGUUUUCAGAAACAGUAGCGCAUUAUUGACCUUACCAGGACACCAUAAUAGGAGUUUAUCCAAAAAUAGCAGAGUUGUGAUUAAAUUCCCUUCACAUGAACAAAUAUUUACAGCCUGAUUUUUAAAUUAGCAACAACAAAAAAAUCCAGUUUUUGCUUUGUCAUUAUGGGGUAUUGUGUGUAGGUAGAUUGAUGAGAAAAAAAUAACAAAGUAAUCAAUUUUAGAAUAAGAAUGUAACCUACCAAAAUGUGGAACAAGUCUAGGGGUCUGAAUACUUUCUGAAGGCACAAUAUACAUAUUGAUAUUAAAAUCAAUAGUGGUGGUUGAGAAAUUAGUCUCAUAAAAUUCCAGCGCAAUGAAUAUUUAAUAUUUCAUGUCAAACCUUGCUUGUUGAAGAUAUUCACACCUCACGGUCUGAAAUGUUGCAUAAGAACCACAACAAUAUGAAUACAUCUCAUUUGAGUUUAAUUCCUUCUCAAAGCUUCCCUUCCUGUUCCAGCAAAUCUAUAGCAGAAUUAUUAACUGUAUCACUAUAGAGGCAGAUCUUUAACUGCUUCUGGUGAUCAUUCAUUCUUUACCAUUAGAAAAAUAGGGUCCAAUUUAUUCACAAGUCUUGCCUGUCGAUCAGCUGCCUUGUUUUAGCAUGGGAAUAGUAGGGAACAUGUUCGUGACCAGGCAACACCGGUUGUUGUGGAUAUUGUAAGGUGUUACACAUGAAAUGGGCAUGUGGAAUUUGAAGUGCACGCCGAUUAGACCCACACUUGGAGUGCAGUAAAAAUGUCUUGUUGGUGUGCACUGUAUCAUGGCCUGGAGAAAUGUAAUCUAUGUUCAAUGUGCAGAACGUUUUAUUAAUAUGCUGGUACUAUUGCAAGGCACAUGCAACUGGAUGCGAACGUGCACUCUACACAACUCAUUCUGACCAUGGAAAGUAUAUUGUUUCAAUGGGGCACUCCUCGUUCUGUCACACACAGAUGCCAGUCGGCAGUGGUGCCCCCCCCCACCACCUUUCUUAAUCCUGUCAUUCUUUACCUUGGUCCCCAUUGCAUGUAAUCCCUGUUGGAUGAUAAACUGUGGGGGAUUGGAAGAUCUGGGUGAAAUGAGAGGAAGCGGCCACAUGUUUUAUUAAUGGCAGUGUGUGGGUGCAGGACUGACAGUGUCAGCUUAAUACUCUGACAGGAGAAGAUCCCUUGCACAAGCCUAUUUUCCUCAGUAAUCUGUAAGGAAGCGUUGGUGAAUUUGAAAGCAGUGUUGAAGCAACUGAUCUCAGAUGCAACCUCUCAUAAAUAAAUUGCAUUGGUUAUGUAUAUUAUGCUUCAAAAUGACUGUGUUUUGUAUUGGUUGUAACAGUAAGUCUUGCAAAUUAUGCUGAGUGAAUUGAAUUCUGCAUGGAUCCGAUUUCAAAAGGCGUUGUGAUUUAUUUGACACAGUAUUGUAGUAUCAUUAGUCAAGCUGGCCUUUUACCACAUCUACUUUUUCUCUGUUACCCAUGCCGUUUCCCCCAGCUGCACUCUGUCAACUCUAAUCUGCCCACGAAGCCUCGAUCAAUCUGUUACAUAAUGUAGACAUGAAGGUCACAUCCAGGUUUUCUACACAGAUCUAUCUUUUUCCAAGGAACUGUUUUUGCACCCAUUACACAGCAUGUCAUUCAUUUUACCACCAUUGCAACAAAGCUUAAAUAAUUAAAGUUGUUAACAGGUAUAAAACACCUGAUUCUCUCACUGGCAGCUGUUGACAUAGACUGUUAGCUGUUGCUAAGGUGUUAGACUGACCAGGUGAAUCCAGUUGAAAGCUAUUAUCCCAGUGGUGGAAAAAGUACGCAAGUGUAAAAGGAAAGAUACUUUACAUAUUCUCAUUCACGCCUUUAGAUUGGUGUGUAUUAGGUAGUUGUUGGGGGUUGUUAUAUUACUUGUUAGAUAUUACUGCACGGUCGGAACUUGGCGCACAAGCAUUUCGCUACACUCGCAUUAACAUCUGCUAACCAUGUGUAUGUGACAAAUACAAU